CCUACGGGUGGCUGCAGUGGGGAAUAUUGGACAAUGGGGGGAACCCUGAUCCAGCCAUGCCGCGUGUGUGAAGAAGGCCCUCGGGUUGUAAAGCACUUUCAGUGAGGAAGAACGCCUGGUGGUUAAUACCCAUCAGGAAAGACAUCACUCACAGAAGAAGCACCGGCUAACUCCGUGCCAGCAGCCGCGGUAAUACGGAGGGUGCGAGCGUUAAUCGGAAUUACUGGGCGUAAAGCGCGCGUAGGUGGCUUGAUAAGCCGGUUGUGAAAGCCCCGGGCUCAACCUGGGAACGGCAUCCGGAACUGUCAAGCUAGAGUGCAGGAGAGGAAGGUAGAAUUCCCGGUGUAGCGGUGAAAUGCGUAGAGAUCGGGAGGAAUACCAGUGGCGAAGGCGGCCUUCUGGACUGACACUGACACUGAGGUGCGAAAGCGUGGGUAGCAAACAGGAUUAGAUACCCCUGUAUC
rnacentral:rRNA from 1 species